rnacentral:rRNA from 1 species
GGCGGGGAACUGCUGCGCAAAAAGAAAUAUUUUGAAAUAUUUUGCGGCGCCGUUGAAGAAAACCUUAUUAUGUGCGCGGGAUAGAGUAAUUGGUAACUCGUCAGGCUCAUAAUCUGAAUGUU